CCACCAAUCCAUAUUACACAAAUCCCAUAUUAUUUUUAGAUUCGUAAAAGAGAAAAAUUAGAGCUUCGAUCAAUUCGGACUCGAAGGAGACAUGCCGCCCACCACUCGACACGACGCCGUUAGAAUCAACCCACUACCAUCUCGAAGCAAGGCCUAGGUGACGAACAUGGAGAAUUUUAUGCGGAGCAAUGGUUAUAGAGGAAGACGGAUGCCCUGAAGAGUAGAAUUUACCAUAGUACCCCUCCUUUUUUAUAGUAUAAAUGUAAUUCAAUUCAAGAUUUAUUGUUUUAUAAGACUAAAUUAUGAUUUUAUUUAAAU